AUGAUUCAAGCCGGCAAGGGUAUGACUGCUGUGUCAAGUGCAAUUGGCUAUAAACGUUUGACAUUAUAUCGGCUACAGCAGAGAUUCAAAGGGACUGGAUCUACGGCGGAUCGACCUCGGUCUGGGCGGCCACGGGUAACAACUAUUGCUGAUGACAUAUUCAUUCGUAUACGGCAUUUGCGGGAUAGGUUUAUGCCUAAUAGGGCAUCGACUGGUUUUGUUCAGUGCAGAUGUAUCAGUGCACAAACAGUCCGUAGAAGACUCCGGUCUUUUAAUCUUCGUCCUAGACGUGCUUAUAGGGGAUCUACACUGAUACAACGACACAGACAAGAGCGGUUAAGAUGGUGUCAAGCUCGUUUACGAUGGAGACUCAAUAAUGAAUGA
rnacentral:sRNA from 1 species